rnacentral:rRNA from 1 species
GACGAACGCUGGCGGCGUGCUUAACACAUGCAAGUCGAACGGUGAAGCGAGUGCUUGCACUCGUGGAUCAGUGGCGAACGGGUGAGUAACACGUGAGUAACCUGCCCAUCACUCUGGGAUAAGCACUGGAAACGGUGUCUAAUACUGGAUACGACCAACCCUUGCAUGGGGUGUUGGUGGAAAGAUUUAUCGGUGAUGGAUGGACUCGCGGCCUAUCAGCUUGUUGGCGGGGUAAUGGCCCACCAAGGCGACGACGGGUAGCCGGCCUGAGAGGGUGACCGGCCACACUGGGACUGAGACACGGCCCAGACUCCUACGGGAGGCAACAGUGGGGAAUAUUGCACAAUGGGCGAAAGCCUGAUGCAGCGACGCCGCGUGAGGGAUGACGGCCUUCGGGUUGUAAACCUCUUUCAGCAGGGAAGAAGCGAAAGUGACGGUACCUGCAGAAGAAGCACCGGCUAACUACGU